UUAAAUUGAAGAGUUUGAUCAUGGCUCAGAUUGAACGCUGGCGGCAGGCCUAACACAUGCAAGUCGAACGGUAACAGGAAUCAGCUUGCUGAUUCGCUGACGAGUGGCGGACGGGUGAGUAAUGUCUGGGAAACUGCCUGAUGGAGGGGGAUAACUACUGGAAACGGUAGCUAAUACCGCAUAACGUCGCAAGACCAAAGAGGGGGACCUUCGGGCCU
rnacentral:rRNA from 1 species